UCAUUGCUUAGUUGGUAAAAGCACAAGACUCUUAACCUUGUGGACGUGGGUUCAAGCCCCAUGGUGGG
rnacentral:tRNA from 1 species